rnacentral:misc_RNA from 1 species
GGAAAGUCCGCGAGGACGCCGGGAAAGUCCUCACCGCGUACCUCAAGGACCGGCCGGUGUUCGAGGCCGACGAUCAGUCGGCCAUGGUGUACCUUCUCGCCACCGAGCGUGCACGCUGGGGCGACAAGGUGUACCUUGAGAAUGCUUACUACCUCCAUGGGUAUUGGGGGAUACUGGUGGACCGAUACGAGGAGAUGAUCGAGAACCACCACCCGGGGCUCGGGGACCACCGGUGGCCGCUUGUGACACAUUUCGUCGGGUGCAAGCCGUGUGGGAAGUUCGGGGAUUAUCCGGUGGAGCGGUGCUUGAAGCAGAUGGAUAGGGCGUUCAAUUUUGGGGAUAAUCAGGUUUUGCAGAUGUAUGGAUUCGAGCAUAAGUCGCUGGCGAGUAGGAGGGUGAAGAGGAUUCGGAAUGAGACUAGUAAUCCGCUUGAUGGGAGGGAUGAGCUCGGGCUGCUUCAUCCGGCUUUCAAAGAAGUUAAGGCCACUGGUACUGCAUUAUAGUAAUAGUAAUUUACCAAUUUUCAGUCUCAA